UUCUCCUCACAAUAUUGUGCAACUUCUCAAUCAAAGAUCCAAGGUUACGAUUUCAUCUCCAUCUCCCGACUUCAUCAUCUCAAUCAAGAAAAAAAGCUUCUGAUUUCCAUUCAUCUGCUUCAUCUCUGCUGUGAUUUCACCUGCUUCAUCUCUAUUGUUUUUGAGAAUACUCGCCAGCAAUGUUCUUUCACUAUUCCUUGACCUGCUUUUUUCUGUAUUCUUUUCUCCACAAUAUCUUCAAAGACAUUCUCACACGCUUUCUCAAAAAAUCAUUUGUUCUCUCUCAAGAACCCUAGUCGUCACUCACACCACCAUAUUUGUAGUGUAAUCUGUUCAGAUGUAUAGGCAUCUAUGAAAUAAGGAACCGUGAUAUGGAAGGCCACCCAAGGAUUAACUCUUCAAGAUUCAGACCGCCAAGGGUUCAUUGAUUUAUAUUUCCCAUGUUAGAGUUUUUGGCUAAUGUUCAUCAUUUUCGAGUUUCUUAAUUACCCAAGUCUGGAUACUUUGGUAUUUCUUUGAUUUCCUUUUCCUUUUUUACUGAUUUUUAUUUCUGGGUUAUCUCCACAUCUGCUAGAUCGAACCAUGACCACGAUCGCCACACACUCUUCCAAGUUCCAACCGUUACCGUCCCUAACACCCCAUCUACAUCUGACCACCAACACCACCGUAAAAAAAGGUUCAAAUUCCCCUUUCUCACAAACUGGAAGAUCAAAAUAAGUUUUUUGGUCAAUUUUGCAAACUAAGGUUUUAUUUUCAUUCCAAUUUUCAUUGAACAAUUCGGUAGUUUCUCCAUUUAUCUAUUCUAUUUCAGUUUUUCUCAAAUUAGGGCUUACCAACUGUAUGAUGAAAUGCCUGAGAGAAAAAUUACAACCAAAACUGUUAAUUACUUUAUAUGUACUAGAUCUGGUGGUGAAGAUAUAGAGUCAAUGUUGCCCAGGACCAAUUUGGGAUCAUCAAGUUAAAACAAAUUUCACAUAGAAUAAACUUCAUAAAUAGUGACAACUUUCUUCCGGAUAAAGCUAUUGAUUUAAACGAUGAAGCCGGUUCUCGUGUUAAUGUAUUCUUCAAGUCCAUAUGCUCUUGAUUUCAUUUUAUAAUUCUUGCUAUUUUGGCAACGAAACCUGUUAUUAGAAGUGAACGUGAAAGAGGACCACUUGUACCUUUUGAAGAACUAGUAACUGAUAACACCUCAAAUGCAUGCAAUCUUGAGGAAAAGUAUUAGGAACCUUAAAAGCAGGGUGGCCAUGGCCCCCUCCGACCCCAAAUAGCAUCCGCCACUGGAGAUCUCAGUGUUGGAGAUGGAGAUGGAGAUGGAGAAGGCUUCAAGUUUUCAAAAUAGCAGGAGUGCCUGGGGCUUAUGUCAUGUGGUAUUGUCCUUUAUAUCGUGCUACAAGCCACAAGAACUGAUAGUGCUCUAAAGUUUGGAUGGUUUUUCUUGGCUUAUAUGUUUCACAUUGCCUUUUGUGUAUUUGCUGCUAUUGCCCCUCCUAUUAUUUUCAAGGGAAAAUCUCUCACAUAAGUUACAUGCUUUCUCAUUAAAGAUAUAGCAACCUUCUUUUAAUUUUUUUAUUAUUAAUUUUUUUUUCUUACUUUCAAUAAUUCCUUAUUAAUGAAUUUGGCAUUAAGCUCUUAAUUAUGUUUUUACUUUUUACAUUACAGUGGGAUUUUACCAGCUCUCGAUGUGCUAACUUCUAAUGCUUUUGUUGGGAUCUUCUACUUGAUUGGAUUUGCAUUCUUUGCUCUUGAAUCAGUGAUGAGCAUUUGGGUCAUUCAGAUUUGGAUUCUGUAGUAGAUUUGCAAAAUCAUACUGCCCUAUCAGACCAUAUUGCUGUGAUUGUUCCAACAUCUUCAACAAUGUAGUCCUUGAAACAUUUUGUGAUAGGGAUCAAACUGAAGGUGGUAGUCCAAAUAUAACUUAGGUGAUUAGGGCAGUUUUGAAUUCCUUUGGGGUAUGGGGUCAAAGUCAAACCCCCAUUGCUGUAUCACAACCAAAUAUGUUCAUGGUGGGAAAGGGUAAAACAAACAUAGACAAAUUCACUUGGGUGGUAGUGUUCAACAGGUUGCUUUGGGAAAGCAGAGAGUUGAUGAGCACAUAUAUACUCAGAUGAUGCAGGAAACUGGUGGUCAGCAGUCCAUGGUUGAUGAAAGCGAAUAGCUCUGGAGUUAGAAGAAGAAAAGAAAGCUCAAGUUGAAAGAGAUAAGAUGUUGCAAAUGCAAGUGUUUCAUUCUUCAUUUCAAUUGUUAGUAUGAAACACAUGGUAGAUUAGACGAAUGCAAAUUUAUAUAUUGUAAGAAAUAGAAUUGUAUGACAUUAAAUUUUAUGCAAUGGAUUGUAUUUUUUGUA